GAACACGGCACCCCCACAGCCACGUGGGUUAAAUCGGGAGGGUACAGCGGCUAAGGGAGAAAACCCUGUGGAAAUGUGUAGCAGAGGCGAUGAUGAGAUGACUGUGAUCACCUGGCCGGUCCUCCCAGACUGUUUAACCCCCGCCUGCCCGAGACCAGGAGGCUGCAUUCUACCGAUGGCGCACCAACAUGUUUUCUCUCUGUUAACUACUGACAACAUGCACCUCACAUUCUCCAUCACAUCCAUCCACCAACAUUCAUCACUGAUACUGACAAUCACACCUCAUCGUGCUCUUGUUUGCAUCAUUAUUUAAUAAAUGUCACUUAUUAUUGUCA